rnacentral:lncRNA from 1 species
GGAAGAGUAGCUUGAACAUGAGACUGAUAAUUUGGCUGCAGAACUUGGAACUGGGGUAAAAUAUUUAGAAGCGAAGCUUGGUAUUGUGAUAGGGUAUAGAAUACAGGCUAAAAACUUGAAGAUGGGGGUGAGGAAAGAAUAUUCCUCUGCUUGAAUUUCUUCUUUAAUUUAUCCAAAAAAUUAGUAGAGACCGCAGUUACAUCCUCUCUUUUCUUCUUUGAGAAUGCAGAAGAUUUAGAUAAUGUUGGGGUUUUGACAAUCUUUCCCAUUCAAAUGCCUUCCUCUAGCGAAUCCCUUAUUUUUACGAAAUCUGCAAAAGUUGCCCUGACUGCGGAUACCAUCCUAC